ensembl:lncRNA
GUGGGAUCCUAUAUAGUAAGAACUGACAAUAAGGUAUGGGUUCCAAAUAUAUUUAUACAUAAACUAAGAUACAACAGCUUAAAGAAAAGCUAAACAUCUUAAUGUGAUUUCCUCUUUCUCUUUCCUUUUGCUUUACCUGUGUGUUCCAGAAAGGUAUUGAUGCUGGUAAAAAGAGGAAUUCAUUGUCUAUGGAAGCAACUAAAUCACAAGGCUGUUUUCAACUGAGGCUUCUGUCUUUUCACUUGUUAUUUCUAUGCAUUUCUUUUAUCAGGCCAUUGCAUAAACCUUUAUCUCUUCUUCUGAGCUGCCUCUGAUGCUGUUUAGUCAGUUAAAUCAAGAAAAUCAGUGGUGAAUAUAUAAUUUUUGCUAAGGGUAAUUAACCUUUUUUUCAAACUCCUUUUAUUCAUUAGGAUUACAAACUGAACAAACUUAAAAAUUAAAAGGUUGAAUCUUAAAAUAUCAGAUUCAAUCCAACAUUUGCAUAACAAUUCAUUUCUAUUAUGAGUCUCCUUCCUAAAAAUUCAAAAGUCAUUUUGACUCCCAGAAAUAAAUUUGUAAAUUAGUAUGUUUGCUUCUUUUCUAUUUGCAGGAAGACAGCAGCUUGAAAUAUGUCUAAAUUUAACUUCUUUCCUUAUGUGUAAACUGUCAUAAUGACAAACUCAUCUACAUGUGAAUACAGCUUUACUAAUAAGCUUCCCUGAACUUCCAGAAAAGGACACGGAAUAUUCUGUGUAGUACUCAAAGGCAAGUACCCUGUCCCUGUCACCCUAAGCUGGGACUUUCUGAUGCUGCUCUCAAGCAGAGGAAGUGCUGGAGGAAACACUCUCCUUGGACUCUAUAACCCUGAAGAUGCAGAGAAACAGCCAGCAGCUGCAGUUUAUAGUCGAACCCCAGGAUAGCAAGUCUCAGUAUAGUUCCUGGUAACAAUGGCUGGAUGAGAGCCAUAGCGUACAUCUCUGCAGACAUAGCUCAUGUUCCUGAAUCCAGGGGCCUGAGUGCUGUACCUGAAACCUAAAAAACCGCAGGUUUUUAUCUGCUUCCUACUCCAACUGCUGACAAGCAAUGGAUGCUCUCAUGUGGAGAUUUCUUCUGAGCAGUGAAAGAGAGAGAAAAAAAAAAAAGCAAUGGGUCUGUGAACAGAACAGUGUGAAAGUGUGUCAGAUGCAAGAGCAAAUUUUUGUUUUACUCCAGGAAAGACUUGCCUCCCAUCUGACACAUUUAUUGGCUCUGUCUCUCAAAGUGUGUGUUUGCUUGAAGUUGCUGACUUUAGUCUUGUUUCUACUCCUUGUUGUUUCUCUUAUUGAUGGCUUCUCCAAACUCACAGCACUGUGUUUAACAAGGAAGUGAUGGGCUGCUGAUCAAAGGUGUGCCUGAUAAUCAAAACCCUUCUAGGUUCUUCUGUGGUGAGAUGAUAUAGCACUCUACCUCAUCCUCUCUUCCUGCCAGUACUGCCUGGAAACAACUCUGGGAUAAUCUCAGGAGGCCUGUUACCUUAAUUGCAUGCAUCAAACACUUUAUUUUGCAAUAAAAGCAGCUACAAAUGUGCUGUUAGACAACUUCCUACUGGUAGCCAAAUAUUGUAUACCUAGAGAUAAAACAGAUUCUAUAAAAAUAUUGGUUAAUUAAUAUGGGACAGAUUUUCAUGGAGGAGCACUAAUUACAUGUGACAUCUUAUUAUUUGUAUUAAAUGUAGUUGCCCUGGGAGAGAUGGCAAGGUGUCAAUGAACAUAAGGCUCUGAGAAGAGGAACUUUUAUAAGCCAUUACCAGAUACUGCAAACCACCAAACCACCAUAAACCACUGGAAACCACUGAAUGGGAGUGAGAAUUAGUGCACUCAUCAAUGUUUAGUCACCACAGAUAUAAGGAAUGAAGGAUAUAAGAGCCUGAAAACAUUCAAGAGGAAAAUGUCCAAAUAUAGAUCUUUCUGUUGUCAAAUGGAUGCUUGGCAGAGGGAAAUCACUAUACUAGAUGAUGGGAGAUACACCAAUUGUCUAGAGCUUUUCUCAGAUUAUGAAGACUCUUCAGCUAUCUUAAGGAUUUCUCUGUUCUCUGAAGGCCUUCUACUCAAGGCCAGAAGUGAGAAAGAAGAUGGGAACUGUGCAUUCAAACCUAGGGAUUGAGAAGGGUGGAAUAUGGCUAAUCUUUGAUUCAGUUUUGUUCUGUUGGAGCAUGAGGAGUUGGGUAGAAAACAGCAUGCAGCUUCUGACUGAAAGGGGCA